rnacentral:lncRNA from 1 species
UAACCUUAAUUUUAUCAAAUCUAGCAAUCAAGAAGUAUUUAAUAAAUGAUUACUCUAGAUGAUUUAUAAUACAAGUCCCUAAUAAUAGAAAAUGAAAUUUCUAAAAAUUACAAAAAAAAAAAAAAGAACCUACCACUUGAAAUUCAAAUCAACCAAGAUCUUCAAGAAUUAUUUCAAUCUAAUUCCAAAAAUAAAAUAUA